rnacentral:rRNA from 1 species
GUCCACGCUGUAAACGAUGGAUGCUAGCUAUUGUUCACAUCGACCUGAACAGUAGCGUAGUUAACGCGUUAAGCAUCCCGCCUGGGGAGUACGGUCGCAAGAUUAAAACUCAAAGGAAUUGACGGGGACCCGCACAAGCGGUGGAGCGUGUUGUUUAAUUCGAGGCUAAGCGAAGAACCUUACCCAGACUUGACUUCCUGUGAAGUCCGGCGAAAGCUGGAUGUGCCUUCGGGAACAUAGUGACAGGUGAUGCAUGGCCGUCGU